rnacentral:rRNA from 1 species
GACGAACGCUGGCGGCGUGCUUAACACAUGCAAGUCGAACGGAAAGGCCCUGCUUUUGUGGGGUGCUCGAGUGGCGAACGGGUGAGUAACACGUGAGUAACCUGCCCUUGACUUUGGGAUAACUUCAGGAAACUGGGGCUAAUACCGGAUAGGAGCUCCUGCUGCAUGGUGGGGGUUGGAAAGUUUCGGCGGUCGGGGAUGGACUCGCGGCUUAUCAGCUUGUUGGUGGGGUAGUGGCUUACCAAGGCUUUGACGGGUAGCCGGCCUGAGAGGGUGACCGGCCACAUUGGGACUGAGAUACGGCCCAGACUCCUACGGGAGGCAGCAGUGGGGAAUAUUGCACAAUGGGCGGAAGCCUGAUGCAGCAACGCCGCGUGCGGGAUGACGGUCUUCGGGUUGUAAACCGCUUUCGCCUGUGACGAAGCGUGAGUGACGGUAAUGGGUAAAGAAGCACCGGCUAACUACGUG